UAGGGAAUCUUCCACAAUGGACGCAAGUCUGAUGGAGCAACGCCGCGUGAGUGAAGAAGGUUUUCGGAUCGUAAAGCUCUGUUGUUGGUGAAGAAGGAUAGAGGCAGUAACUGGUCUUUAUUUGACGGUAAUCAACCAGAAAGUCACGGCUAACUACGUGCCAGCAGCCGCGGUAAUACGUAGGUGGCAAGCGUUGUCCGGAUUUAUUGGGCGUAAAGCGAGCGCAGGCGGAAUGAUAAGUCUGAUGUGAAAGCCCAUGGCUCAACCGUGGAACUGCAUCGGAAACUGUCAUUCUUGAGUGCAGAAGAGGAGAGUGGAAUUCCAUGUGUAGCGGUGGAAUGCGUAGAUAUAUGGAAGAACACCAGUGGCGAAGGCGGCUCUCUGGUCUGCAACUGACGCUGAGGCUCGAAAGCAUGGGUAGCGAACAGG
rnacentral:rRNA from 1 species